rnacentral:rRNA from 1 species
UCUGGUGAUCAUGGCAAAGGGGAAACACCCGAUCCCAUACCGAACUCGGCAGUUAAGCCCUUUAGCGCCGAAGGUACUGCAUGGGCGACUAUGUGGGAGAAUAGGACGUCGCCAGGA